rnacentral:lncRNA from 1 species
CGGAGGUUGGACUCGAUGAUCUUGAGGUCUCUUCCAACCUAGAAAUCUGUGAUACUGUGAUACUGUGAUACUGUGAUGUAGGUAAUAGUGUGUUCAGUUAUGACCUCACUGGAAGGAAGAUGAAGUUUAGCAACUUUAAUGUAUCAAACACAAAGUCUGCCUUCACUCAGUUCCUGUUGCCAUUCCUUUAUGCACAAUUUGGUCACCACCUACUUCAGCUGAAGCUUCAGUGUCUCUUCUUACCUAACAGCUUGGUGAUUUGAUUUCAAGACAAGGAACUCAAUAGCUUGAGUCAAGAACCCUCACUGAAGGUCCCUCUGACUUCUGUUUCUUUUAUCCUCACCAAGACUGGAUUAGAUUAGGAGCAAAGAGAUGAAGAAACUUCACUAAGUAACCAUUAUGUUCUUAUGUGACAAACAUCACCGUGUUACAUACAGCUACAGUACCGGCUAAGUAUCCUUUCCACAUUUGCACCGUAUUUCACAUAUUAAAAGUCAAAGACGGUUCAGAACUGUAUAUAAAAGAGUAUUUCCAGCAGGAGUCCUUAUAGGAAAAUUUUGAAUGAGUUUUGUUUAAAUGACUACUUAAUUCUACAAUUGACUGAACAAAUCACAAACUAAGAAUUUAAAAAUAGUCUUGCAGAGCAACACAAUUACAUUGAUGGAAUCCAGUUGAAUGUACAAAGUUUCAAAAAUCCAAGCAAACCACUACAGCCCUGAAGUAAACUAGGAACUGUAAAGAAAACCAGCACUUCCUAAAA